rnacentral:tRNA from 1 species
GGGCAUGUGGUGGAACUGGUAGACACGCUAGGCUUAGAACCUAGUGGCGCAAGCCGUGGGGGUUCGAUUCCCUCCAUGCCUA